rnacentral:rRNA from 1 species
AUUAAUAAUUAAUAUAUUUAAUAAAAAUAAUUUUAAUUUAAUAAGUAUUUUAAUGGGGGUUAAAGUAUUUUUUAAAGAAACAAUUUUUAAAUUUAUAGUUAAUUAGUAUUGUGAACGAAUUUUGAAAUAUUAUGAAAAAUAAAAUUUUUAGAAAGUAAUUUUUAUUUAUUGUAUCUUGUGUAUCAGAGUUUAUUAAAAAUUUUUAAUUUAUGAAUUAAUUUCUCGAAUUUAAAAGAGUUAAAUAAUUAUUAAAGUUAUUGUAGCAAAAUUAUUUUAAAUAAUUAUUUAGAAAUGAAAUGUUAAUCGUUUUUAAAUAUAUCUAGUUUUUAUAGAAAAAAAUUUAAUUUUAAAUUUAAGAAUUAUUUAAUUAACUUAUUAAUUAAAUAAUUACUUAAAUUUUAUAAUUUAAGGGAUAAGCUUUAAAUUAAAUUUUUAUAAUACUAAAUUUUUAUUUUGAAAAUUUUAUAAUUUAUAUUGUUAAUAAAUUUUAUUUUAUUAUAAAUAAUUUCAUUUUUUUUAAAAUUUAAAUUUUAUUUAAUUUUUUAUAUAAAAUUUAUUUAUAAUUAUAUAAAGUUAAUUAUAAUGAUAAAAUUAGUAUAUUAUUUAAUAUUAAAUUAAAAUUAAUUUUUGGUUAAUAAUUAAAUUAAUUAAAAGGAAUUCGGCAAAUAUUUAUUUUCACUUGUUUAUCAAAAACAUGUCUUUUUGUUAUUUAAUUUAAAGUCUAAUCUGCCCACUGAUUUAUAAAAAUUGAAGGGCUGCAGUAUAUUGACUGUACAAAGGUAGCAUAAUCAUUAGUCUCUUAAUUGGUGACUUGUAUGAAAGAUUGGAUGAAAAAUAUACUGUCUCUUAAUUAAUAUAUAGAAUUUAAUUUUUUAUUUAAAAAGUUAAAAUAACUUAAAAAGACGAGAAGACCCUAUAGAGUUUAAUAAAUUAUUUUAUGAAAGUUUUAUUUAUAUUUAUUAAUAAUUUUAUAAAUUUAUUUAUUUAGUUGGGGUGAUAAAAAAAUAAAUUUAACUUUUUUUAAGUAAUUUACAUGAAUAAGUGAUUAAU